rnacentral:rRNA from 1 species
CGUUAAGUAGACCGCCUGGGGAGUACGGCCGCAAGGUUAAAACUCAAAUGAAUUGACGGGGGCCCGCACAAGCGGUGGAGCAUGUGGUUUAAUUCGAUGCAACGCGAAGAACCUUACCUGGUCUUGACAUCCACAGAAGAAUCCAGAGAUGGAUUUGUGCCUUCGGGAACUGUGAGACAGGUGCUGCAUGGCUGUCGUCAGCUCGUGUUGUGAAAUGUUGGGUUAAGUCCCGCAACGAGCGCAACCCUUAUCCUUUGUUGCCAGCGGUUAGGCCGGGAACUCAAAGGAGACUGCCAGUGAUAAACUGGAGGAAGGUGGGGAUGACGUCAAGUCAUCAUGGCCCUUACGACCAGGGCUACACACGUGCUACAAUGGCGCAUACAAAGAGAAGCGACCUCGCGAGAGCAAGCGGACCUCAUAAAGUGCGUCGUAGUCCGGAUUGGAGUCUGCAACUCGACUCCAUGAAGUCGGAAUCGCUAGUAAUCGUGGAUCAGAAUGCCACGGUGAAUACGUUCCCGGGCCUUGUACACACCGCCCGUCACACCAUGGGAGUGGGUUGCAAAAGAAGUAGGUAGCUUAACCUUCGGGAGGGCGCUUACCACUUUGUGAUUCAUGACUGGGGUGAAGUCGUAACAAGGUAACCGUAGGGGAACCUGCGGUUGGAUCAC